rnacentral:rRNA from 1 species
GACGAACGUUGGCGGCGUGCUUAACACAUGCAAGUCGAACGGAAAGGCCCUGCUUUUGUGGGGUGCUCGAGUGGCGAACGGGUGAGUAACACGUGAGUAACCUGCCCUUGACUUUGGGAUAACUUCAGGAAACUGGGGCUAAUACCGGAUAGGAGCUCCUGCUGCAUGGUGGGGGUUGGAAAGUUUCGGCGGUUGGGGAUGGACUCGCGGCUUAUCAGCUUGUUGGUGGGGUAGUGGCUUACCAAGGCUUUGACGGGUAGCCGGCCUGAGAGGGUGACCGGCCACAAUGGGACUGAGAUACGGCCCAGACUCCUACGGGAGGCAGCAGUGGGGAAUAUUGCACAAUGGGCGGAAGCCUGAUGCAGCAACGCCGCGUGCGGGAUGACGGCCUUCGGGUUGUAAACCGCUUUCGCCGGUGACGAAGCGUGAGUGACGGUAAUGGGUAAAGAAGCACCGGCUAACUACGUG